UACGAAGGGUGCAAGCGUUAAUCGGAAUUACUGGGCGUAAGGCGUGCGCAGGCGGUUGGCAAAGUCAGCUGUGAAAGCCCCGGGCUUAACCUGGGAAUUGCGUUGGAGACUGCAAGGCUGGAGUCUGGCAGAGGGGGGUAGAAUUCCACGUGUAGCAGUGAAAUGCGUAGAGAUGUGGAGGAACACCGAUGGCGAAGGCAGCCCCCUGGGUCAAGACUGACGCUCAUGCACGAAAGCGUGGGGAGCAAACAGG
rnacentral:rRNA from 1 species